rnacentral:rRNA from 1 species
UACGUAGGGGGCAAGCGUUGUCCGGAAUCAUUGGGCGUAAAGAGCGUGUAGGCGGCUCGGUAAGUCCGCUGUAAAAGUCAAAGGCUCAACCUUUGAAUGUCAGUGGAUACUGCCGGGCUAGAGUCCGGAAGAGGCGAGUGGAACUCCUGGUGUAGCGGUGGAAUGCGCAGAUAUCAGGAAGAACACCAACGGCGAAGGCAGCUCGCUGGGGACGGUACUGACGCUGAGACGCGAAAAGCGUGGGGGAGCAAACAGG